rnacentral:rRNA from 1 species
AUGAUCUUGAGCGCCUCCAGGUUCAUGAGCGCUAUGACGGCAAGGAUCAGGUUCAGGUGGCCAAUGGUGCAGGACAAAGCAACUAGGCGCGUCAUCCUUCACAGUAGAAGUUACGGGGGGGUCUAUCCGGUCCCCUUCGCUCGUGCAUCAUCUUCAUCGUCUCACCGUGCCUCCUCCGGUGUUCGAGUUUCGUCGUUGCAAUGGCAUCAACGUCUUGGUCAUCCUACAAAUAAUGUGGUCACUUCCAUUGUUCGGAGUCAUGAACUUCCGUGUUCUAGUUCAAAUAAUUCAUCGUUAGUUUGUGAUGCAUGUCAGCGUGCUAAGAGUCAUCAACUACCUUAUUCUACUUCGUUUCACAUCACUACUGUACCUCUUGAAUUAAUACAUUCAGAUGUUUGGGGUCCCGCUCUUGCUUUGUCAGGAGGGUACAAAUAUUAUGUUAGUUUUAUUGAU